AUCUGGACCAUUAUAUGCCACCCUGGGCAUAAGGCAGGAGAAUUCAUCACGGAUGGGAUGCCAGUCCGUUUCAGGGCACCGUACACACUCUGGAGAACCCAGAGGAAACCCACAUGGACACAGGGAAAACAUGUGAUGCUCCACAUAGUCAGUAACCUGGUCUCAGGAUCGAACGAGGGAUGUUAGAGCUGUGAGGCGGCAAUGCUACCUGCUGCACCAUCCACCUCAAAUUUAUACCUCAGUGUAACUGCAUUGUCCUGGUCAGGGUGGUGGUGGAUCCGGAGCCUAUCCCAGGAACACUGGGCACGAGGCAGGAAUACACCCUGAAUGGACUGCCAGUCCACUGCUGUCUCUGGUGUGCCAGAAGAGUGCGGCAGGACUGUAAAAACAAAGCCAGAAUAAACAGGAGGAUCGCAGUGGAUCCGGAGCCUAUCCUGGGAACAAAGGGUGCAACCCAGGAACACAUCCUGGGUGGGACACCAGUUUUUCGCAAGGCACCAUGCACACCCACACCCACACAGGAGCAGUUUGGCAUAGCCAGUCCAAAUACUGGCAUGUUCUGGGGAGGUGGGAGAAAACCGAAGAACCUGGAGGAACUUGGAUAUCCUUUUAAGCCAUUCUGUAAAAGGUCUUUGUCUUUCUUUCUCUCUCUCUCUCUCUCAUGUCUUGUGAAAGCUGUUUUCAUAAUUCUAUUGCCUUUUAAUUUGACUGCUCACACCAC
ensembl:lncRNA